AAUAAAAAAUACUACUACUGAUAAAUAUAUUGUUUUUGUCCUUUGACUAACUAAAUUACAAACUCACAUGCUAGCGAUAAUCACUUGAUCAAUAUUGAGUAUUCACAAUGUAACAAUGUUUGUAUGUUACAAAUCUAUUACACAUGUUUAUAUACGUAUGUAGAUACAAAUUAUUAACUCAAUACAAAAAUCUCAAAAUUUAGGCACCAUACCAUAUUUUGUGUAGGCCUUUGAUAGGUGAUGAUUGCCUACAUAUUAGUGUAAAUAAAGUUUAAAAUAUCUUUCCCUUUAAAAAAAGGAAUAAAAUAAUAAAGGUUAAAUUUUCUUUCCUUUAGAAAAGGGAAAAAAUGAUUGAUCUCAAGAAAUAUCAUCUCCACCUAAAUGAUGGAUGUCAAGAAAUAUUAUCACACUUUUUUACUCUCUCGACUGUGAUUGGCUAGACACACAAUAUGAUAAUGUAUCCCGACCACUAAAUUUUUACUCAUACGUUACAUGCCAAUUGCCAAAGGACAUGUCCCAUAAUUUAACAAGAAAAGAAAAUUUAAUUACCAAUGUCUUGACCCCUCAAACAAGAAAUUCCAAAAUGAAGUUUGAUGUUAAAGAAAUGUACUAUUUUCUUGGGUAGUAAGACAAUGCAAAACCAUAUACAUGUAGCUUGUGUUUUCCCUCUCCUCUACUAAGCUUGACAACGUCGAUAUAUUCGAGGCCUACGCCCAAUGUUUUCUUGUUGUUCAAUCGAAAUUCAAUGCAAAACCAGUUGCUACUCAUUCUCAUUCAAUUCCUUCACACACUUCCCAUCAAAAUAUGUGUGUAAACUUCAUUAACUCAAGCAUUCCACUUUUCUCCAUUAUUUAACACUAUAUAUAUUUCUCAAGUUUUUUUAGCUCAUCUCAUCAAUAUCAAUGUUUUUGAAGCGUUUAACGGCGAGGCUGGCCGGAUCGGUGGCGAAAACGGUGGGGUUCAUGGUGGCUCAGCCGGCGGCGACGAUGACGACGCUGCUUUAUUACAGCGAUCUUCUUCCGAGGAACCUCAACUUGGACCGGUUUGUUGAACAUCAACUUCUUGUACCUGAAAAUUUUUUGUUUCAUUUUCUCGUUAAUUUUUUGAGAACUUUCUGGUAGAUUCCUUUUGUUGUAACUAUUUUGUGUAUAUUCAAAAUGGGACAAGAAGAAAACCCGUUUUCUUGUAAAAUAUUUUCGAGUUGAAAAUAAGUUUACUA